AUUGAACGCUGGCGGCAUGCCUUACACAUGCAAGUCGAACGGUAACAGAUCUUCGGAUGCUGACGAGUGGCGAACGGGUGAGUAAUACAUCGGAACGUGCCUAGUAGUGGGGGAUAACUACUCGAAAGAGUGGCUAAUACCGCAUGAGAUCUACGGAUGAAAGCAGGGGAUCGCAAGACCUUGUGCUACUAGAGCGGCCGAUGUCAGAUUAGGUAGUUGGUGGGAUAAAAGCUUACCAAGCCGACGAUCUGUAGCUGGUCUGAGAGGACGAUCAGCCACACUGGGAGUGAGACACGGCCCAGACGCCUACGGGAGGCAGCAGUGGGGAAUUUUGGACAAUGUGCGCAAGCCUGAUCCAGCAAGGCCGCGUGCAGGAUGAAGGCCUUCGGGUUGUAAACUGCUUUUGUACGGAACGAAAAGCCCUGGGUUAAUACCCUGGGGUCAUGACGGUACCGUAAGAAUAAGCACCGGCUAACUACGUGCCAGCCGCCGCCGUAAUAC
rnacentral:rRNA from 1 species